CUGCAAUUAUACUGGGUGUGGCACCUGACCACUCUCCCUGUCUAUCCCACUUUAUUGUCUAUGGAAAUAUGGAUGUGCCUGGAAAUAGGCGUUUAGAUUUGUUCCUCUCAUGGUUAGAACCAAUUGCACCUCACUGACACUGACACACUCUUGUUGAUGGAAAGGCUGCAUUUCAAUUGGAAGAAGUGUAUUGAGAAGGUAUUCUGAGCAUGUGUUCUCAAAUGAUGUUAUUCUUUUGUGGCUGUGAUUCAGGACAAACUGUUUCAGUAGGCACUGCAUCGUGCAUCCUGUGAGUGUGCUUGUCUCUGCUCUCAACACGGUGCAUCAGGGAUCAACGGGCACCCCUGCAUUAUCUGACUUGGGACUCAUAAUUGCAUCAGGCUCGACCCUCUGAUGGAAAACUCCAGCACCCUGAGCCGGCACAGAGCCUGGCCUGCCCAAGUGCCCAGAGACACCGAAUGAAGAACGAGUCUCAGCAGCCUCUUUCACACAGAGAGGAAGAAUGAGGAAAUCAAGCUAAGCAGACCAGAGGCAGCUUCUCAGCUUAGUGCUGAGACCAGUUUUGGUACAAGAGCCCCAGCAAGAUAACUAGAGUGUCAGCAUCCCCCUUUCCUGCGGAAACCUUUCUUUCUGUGAACAUCCUCAGCCUACGGAUAGUGGAGGACUCAGGCAACACCUGGCUCUAUCGGCAUUGUCAAGUCUCAUAGCACCUGGGUUAGUUGUCUUCAGCCAGAUUUUCUCCACCUCUAGCCAAAUGCCAAACAAUGUCCCUGGGUUCUGAUCACUAAAGGUAAAGUGGUUCUUGGAUACAAGGAUUCUCCAGACUGUGUUGCAUGGCCACAUCUCGCUGAUGGCUACUCAGAUCCUGCAUCUGGACAACUGCCCACCCAGCUGGCCUCUAGUGGAGCAGAGAUGCCCAAGCAUGCUAUUGUUUUUGUGAUGCACUGACUGCUCUCCCAUCUCUGUUCUCCAAGCUUCUCAAUGUUGGGCCCUGGUGAGGUCUUUAGGAAAUGCUUUCUAAGCGUCAUUAAGGCCUCCCCAGCUUUGAGCAUCACACCUGCCAUAGUAGAAAAGCAGGGUUGGCUUUGCGGUCCUGUGCCUGCCUGUACAGUGUCUUGAGUCCACAUGCUGUAAAAUGUCCCUGCUCUUGGCUUAAAGUUCUGCAGCUAUUGUCUUGAAAAUCUCAGUCAUUUUUAGGUUAAUAAUUCUUUUUUUGGUUUUUAUUCCAGACAGGGUUUCUCUAUGUAGCUUUGGAGCCUGUCCUGGAAUUCAUUCUAUAGACCAGGAUGGCCUCGAACUCACAUCUACCUGCCUCUGUCUCCCAAGUGCUGAGAUUAAAGGCAUGCACCAUCACUACUCAGUCUCAGUCAUUUUAAUGUUAUUCCCCCAAGUCAUGCAGUGGCUCCUGCAAAGGCAGCUUGCCUAUCUCAAUGUUAUCUAACUCCAAAUCCCAUGGCCUGUUCUUUGGAUAUUGGAUACCUAAACAGAUGUAAGGAAGUUUAAUAUUCCUACUUUCUCCAUCUUUAUUCUUUUUGACCAUUAUUAGAAUGUUCCCCAUGCACGAACAAAAUGAGUAUAUACAUGUCUUUCUCUUCAGUUGCUUGAUUUCUUUUCAUUUAUCCACUAAUCAGAGACUUCAGAUAAACACUGCCUUUGCCAAUCAGACAGUUAAAAUUGUGCUCAAGAAAGAUGACGGCACAAGUCUGCUGAGGUAGGAACAAAUGUCCAGUCAGGCCUGCCGAGUCCUGGGACUGAUCCGAUGAUGAGAUGAAUUGAAUUCAGGACAGGGACUAACAUAGAUGGUCAUGUGCUAGUUUUAAUUCCUGGCCUGGAGCUGCCACCUGCACACCCUUGCUCUGGAACGUGGGUGAGUUGAAUUGGAGGAUGCUGUUUGGAGUAAGAUUUGGUUGAAAUAAUCAUCAGUGCAUGUAGCAUGUACAAUUUGUGGAAACUUAAUGUAAAAAUACGAUCAAGGGACAAAGUCCCUGCCCUUUCUGAAAUUAAGGGAAAGAAUAAACCCUGGCAAAUCACCAAACAGCAUACACAGCAAUUCGGUGUGAUAGACAGCAGCACACAGAGAAUGUCAGGCACAAAAAGGCAUUGUAGAGGGAGUGACAUGGAGUAGAGAGUGGAAGGAGGACUUUCAGGGUGGGGACAAGAGAGUAUGGGGAGUGGAGAUUGCAGACUCAAAACCCCUGAGACUGGAAAAGGUAUGGGCUGCUUGCGGCAUGGGAUACAGCCAGGAAAGAGCAGGGACACUGAUGGUCGAGAGGUGAACCGUGAUCAUGAAAAGGAAAGUCACAUUCAAAGCAGAAAUUAUGAUUUUUGUCUUAGUCCUUAGCAUCUGAAGUCACUGAAAGAUGCUAAGUUUUCUGUGGUUAAGGUUGGUCCUUCUGAAUUAUGCCGGGUGGAUUGAUGGGGGAAAGGAGGGGCAAGUGGUCCAGAUAGGAGCGUAUGCUAUCUGCCUGGUUAAAAGCUCAUGGGAAUUUAAAGUUGGUAGUGCAUCUGUGGAAAAUCUGUGUGACACACAGGACGGAGGAAUGGGACUGGUGAUGGACUCUGAAGCAAGGAUGGAAUGGACCACACCUGCACAUAGCAGUCAUUAAACAGUAGCUUUUUCCUUAUCCUUGAGUCUGGGCCUCUGAGGCUGCCAUCCCUUGAGUGCACUCUUAGAAAUGUAGGCUUACCUUUCUAAGCUCCAGCUGAGAAAGCCCAGAGAGCUCAGGAGUAUCCCCCUGUCCUUUCUGGUUCUGGGAACCUCUGCUGCCAGAGAUGGCCACCUUAUUGUAGCACCUGGUGAGCUGUUCCAUUUCAUAUUGAAGUUACUGUCAGUCAGGGACCCUUGUCUCUGUCCUUAUACUGUUGAGCCACACCUAUGCCAUUAUACAAUUGUCAAAAAUCAUGGGUUCCAGGUGAGGAGAAGCUAUGUGUAGGUAGGUUGCUCUGGAGAUGAGGUGGAAAUGAGAUCUCAUGAAGGGGUCGCUGGUUUCCAAGUCAUGACACCGCAGAGCAGGGUUUGGUGGAAUAGGGAUCUGAUGCUUCUCUCUCCCCUGGGCAUAUCUGGGAGGGUGUAAGUUACAAAAAAAGAGGCUAUGUGGUGCAAGGAACUCAACCAGGGACCAGGGUCUAUGUAUAUACAUGUGUGUACCUGUGUAUUGUGGGUAUAAGUGGAUGCACACAUAUCAGUACAUGGCAUUUAUUAUGCCCAUGUACUUGCAUUCUUAAGCUAAGGGCUUCAUGUGUAUGUAUGUAUGAGAUUGCAUAUUUCUGUGUAUGCACAUAUGUGUUUGUAUGUGUGGGAUGUGUGUGUGUGUGUGUGUGUGUGUGUGUGUGUAAACUGUUUGUUGUGCUUGUGUGUAUGUGCAGGAACCCUGGACUUAGGCAGCUCCUCCUCCAGAGUCACAUAUGCCCCUGGCUGCCAGCAGGUGGCCCCUGAGCACCAUGUGCUAGGCUCUGGGGACAAGGUCUGCUCUGUUCAUGCAGCCUUCUCUAAGAAUCUUUCCACUGAUCUGGCCUCUUCUCUUAAGCUUUGGUCCUGAGGCAUACAGGGACUAAGGAAGACUAUUCUAACACAUAUAAUGGGCCCGACAGUGUAGGGCUGGACUGUGGGUAGGGCUGCUGAGCACCCCCCCCCCCCCCCCGUGGUGCUCCUGGCUCUGCGCCAGGCUCUCAGCUGCACUCUUGGUCAGUAGUCACAUAGGCAAGCCUGGGCCUAGGCUAAACUAAGAAGGAAUGUGACUAUGUGACUAAAGAUCUGUACUACAGAAGGGACUGAAGAAAGUGCCAGGCAUGUCUGUUUACCUUGCUUACAGUGACACUAGGGUCAGGCAAGAUAGCAACAUGGUUUUUCUCUUGCUCAGAAGGCAGAGAGCUAAUGUUCGUGUCUCCUAAAGACAGCAACCAAGUGCCCAAGGACAGCUACUCUUAUUAGAUGAUGAUUAUCGUGUCUUUGGACUGUUGGACUUGAGAAGGAAAGUUGGACUCACUGACAUGUUUGUGAGAUCUGUGAGAAUACUAAGAGGCUUCCUUAGCCCUUGGUGUUCGCAUUGUCUAUUACCUGGGUUAUUUCUCAUGGGUGCCUGUGAGCAGAGAGGGUCUUGUCAGACUGUGUCUGGAUCUUUAGUGUUCAUCCAAGGGCUGAGUCAGGAUGGGUGCUUGAUGGUGAUUUGGUGAGCACUUAGAGGAGUAAUGCCUAUAUAAGGAUAGUUGGGGGUGUGGAAUGGAAUGCAUGGAGCUUAGAGCCAAGUUCUGGUUGAAGCUGAAAGGAUUCUAAGGGAGGUGGGAAUUCUAAAAAUGAAGGGAAGCAGACCCUUGGAGAUGGAACCGGAAAAACUAGAGUCAUUGUGCAAUCCAGUGGUUUUCCUGUCAAUUUCCUGCCAGACUUUGGGGACCUAUGAAUAUAGCUCAGGACAGAUAGUGGCAGCAGCAGGGAGGGAAAUUUGAAGAAGCUGUGAGAGGCUGGGGGUGUAACUCAGUUGGUGAAGUAAUUUUUUAGGAUGCAUGGAGCCCUGGGUUUGAUCUCCAGCAAGGUGUAAACCGGGUGUGGUGGUACACUUCCAUACUGAUGAGGAAAAUCAGAAGUUCGAGGUCAUCUUCAGCUACAUAGUGAGGCCAGUUAGAGUGCACAAGACCCUGUCUCAAAAGACCUACAACAAAUCAAUAAAAUAAAGGAAAGAAAGAAGGUUGUUGGAUGAGAUUCUGGACAUGGCCUCUAUUCAAUUGAUAAGGUUCACUGUUUUUUUUUUUUUUCUUUGAAAACAAAUUGGAUGCCAUUUUUCUUUGCUAUUUAUCAUUUGUGCCUUGUGUGGUGUGUGUGUAUGUGUUUGCUUGCUUGACUGUGUGUAGGCAUAUAUACGUAUGUAUGUUUAUGCACAAGGGUGUAUAUGUGUACUAGGAGGUCCAAGUUUGAUGAUGUUAGGAAUCAUCAUUGAUCUCUCUUUUACCUUCUUUAUAGUGAGGCAGGGUCUCUCAAUCAAACCCAGAGCUCAUUGAUAUGCCUAUCAGUCUUGCUCUGCUGUGUCCUCUUUCUGGGCCUCCAAUUGUAAGUGGCUCAUCAAGCCCACUUGGCAUUUACAUGGAUUCUGGAGGUGUGAGUUUCAAUCCUCAUUCUUACACAGCAAACAUUUAGCCAUUGAGUCAUUUUCCUUGCUCCUGAAAUUCAUUUUUAAUUGAGAAUAUUUAUUUAUUGAAAUCUGUGAUUCUAAAUUCUGCCACUAUUUCAAGAUGGCCAUGCAAGAUUUCUGUUUCCUUGGUGGUAUAUUCUAGUAGGGAGAGAAGGAAAUAUGUAAAUGGAUAAGUUAAGUCUGAGUGUGGCCCAUAAUGGAGCUGGAACCUAGUAGAGGGACUCAGGGAAGAAGAGGAGGCCAAGGGUGGACCCCGGGAGGAGGAGACAGCUGAGCCUCUGUUGUGUCUAUGAAGUGAGAAGAAGCACUUCUGGAAAAGGUUUUUGUUUGAAGAAAAAUGUCUAUGAAAAUCAGAAAACCAUCACCUAGUCAGUCUUCUCUUACUUACAUUUAUUUGUUUAAAUUUAAAUCUAAUACAGGAUUCACUGUAAAAAUUUCAAACACAGACACAGACACACAGACACACAGACACACACACACACACACACACACACGCACAUACACACACUCAUGGCAAAAUGGUCCUCUCCCCUCCAUGUCACCUCCCAAAGCCCCCAGACCCACUUACUAGUUCUCUACACCGAUAGGCAGGUAACCUCUCAGACUUCUUUCUGUACAUUGGCAAGUAUAUUUCUUAAUUACUGCUUUUGCUUGUCUUUUAGGAUGCUCAAAUUUAAUAAUCCCACACAGGACUGUUGGUGCUCUCUACUAUACUGGAUCCUUUCCCAGGCUUCCUAUCUUGGUAAAUUGGUGCUCCCAUCUCUCAGAAUCUUCCAAGCCCCAAGCUGCCCCAAGCUUGGGGACAUCCUGAUUCUUUCUUUGCACUCAGGCAACACAAGUUACUGCCCUAUCAGGUUCUGCAGGCUCUACUUUCAGGGCACACCUCAUAUCUGGGUGCUCUGUGUAGUCUUCAGCCUGGUCAAAACCCAGCACAUCCUGCCAGGACCUUCUACAUGCUCUUUAUCCCCACCCCCUGUUAUAUUUUACAGUUUUUCCCCCAUCCAGCGUCCUGUGAAAUCUUUCAAAUAUAGUAAAGCACAUCAUGCCCCUCCCUCCUUGAUACUCCAAUGGCUUCCAAUUUGCCUUCAGGAAUAAAAUCUCAACUUUUCAUCUGAAAUCUAAAAGUCAAAGCUUAAACGACUGGGCCCCAGCUUCCUUUCUAAUCUCAUCUUUUUCCUUCUUCCUCCUAUACAGUAUCCUGUAACCACACUGCAUGCCACAUCCUCGUCCUUCCUAUUGUGUAUAGAGACCUUGAGUUUGCUGGCCUGGCUUAGAGAACACCUUUCUAAUCUUAGCCCGGUGUUACCCUCCAGGGAAGCCUUCCCCAUAGCUUCACAUAUAAAUAGACUCCCUUCCUUCCUGCUUCCUCCUCCUACAAUCACCACUCUGUUUUAUGCCUGUUUUCUUUCUCUUACACUACUUACAUUACUGGACUGCCCUUGCUCCUUGCCUGUCUCUGAUCCCUUGUGUUUCAGCCCUAUCAGGACAGAGAUGUGACUCCUACUGCAUCAUUUAUAUUUCCUCUUGCUGUGAUAAAAACAAGCAAACAAAAACCUUGAUUAAAGAAAUGGGUUUAUAUACUGUAUUAUGUAUCAUAAUUGUGCAUGACUUUAUUUAUGAGCUAAAUAAAUGAAUGGAAAAAAAAAAGAAAUGGAUUUAUCUGGGCUCAAAGUUCCAGGAUAUAGACUAUCACUGUGCGGAAGUCAUGGUAGCAGGAGCUUGAGCUGGCUGGUCAUGUUGCAUCUGCAAUCAGGAAGCAUGGAGUGAUGAAUGCUGGUGCUCACCUUGCUUUAUUUUUCUCAUGCUUGUGGACCCCAGCCCAGGGGACGGCCUCUCCUAGAUUCAGGGUGUGUCAUCCCAUUUCAAUUAACCUAAUCCACCACAGACAUUCUCAGAGGCUAACUUAUUCUUGAUAAUCUGUGGUUAUGCCCAGAAUGUUAUCUUCUAGGUAAUUCUAGAUCUUGUCAAUUGGUAAUCAAGAUUAACCACAUACCUGACUUUCUCAUGGCUCUAUUGAUGGAUGAAUAAAAUGAUCUUCUUUUUGUUGCUAAUGCAAAGGGUGUAGCAAGCAUUUUUGUAGCUAUAUACCUUUGGGAAAUUGUGUAAUGGUUUCUGUGCACAGAUUCUUGGAAGUGGCUACAUAUAUUUUUAAAAUUCAAUAGAUAUUACUAAUUUCCCUCCAAAUCACUGUAUUAGUUUGAACUCCCAUUUGCUUUGGUGGAGAACUGUCUUUUCUUACAUCCCUAUCAACUCUACAUAAACAAAUAGUCAUUGUUUUCUUCCUGUUAGCCUGCGUUAUAAACAAAACAUAAGUAUUAUAUUUUGUUUUAAUUUGUACUUUCCUUAUUCUAUAAUGUUGGAUAUGGCUUUAUGUAUUCUUUGUAGUUUUUCUCUUAUAUGUGGGUGUUAGCUUUAAAGUUUUCUGUUUGUAUGCUGUAAUCCAAACAAGCACAGAGGUUAGGUACCGACCUAGUAAGGUACCAGAGGAGAGAAGAUCUUCAAAAGAAGGGGAAAUAGAAUAAAGUGUCAUAGAGAGGUAAAAGGUGAAAUUUUACCUAGAAUAGGAGAAUUUCAUA